rnacentral:rRNA from 1 species
UACGAAGGGGGCUAGCGUUGCUCGGAAUCACUGGGCGUAAAGCGCACGUAGGCGGAUUGCUAAGUCAGGGGUGAAAUCCUGGAGCUCAACUCCAGAACUGCCUUUGAUACUGGCGAUCUCGAGUCCGGGAGAGGUGAGUGGAACUGCGAGUGUAGAGGUGAAAUUCGUAGAUAUUCGCAAGAACACCAGUGGCGAAGGCGGCUCACUGGCCCGGUACUGACGCUGAGGAGCGAAAGCGUGGGGAGCGAACAGG